ensembl:misc_RNA Y_RNA Y RNA
GGCUGGUCCCGAGGUAGUGAGUUAGCUCCAUUGAUAGUUCACAGUCAGUUACAGACCAAACUCCUUGUUCUACUCUUUCCCUGCUUCUCACUACGGCACUGGACUAGUCUAAA